rnacentral:rRNA from 1 species
GACGAACGCUGGCGGCGUGCUUAACACAUGCAAGUCGAACGAAGUGGCGAACGGGUGAGUAAUACGUGGGUAACCUGCCCUCCUUUUUGGGAUAAGCCUUGGAAACGGGGUCUAAUACCGAAUAAAGGGGGCUGGGCUCGCGGCCUAUCAGCUUGUUGGUGGGGUGAUGGCCUACGAAGGCGGUGACGGGUAGCCGGCCGGAGAGGGUGACCGGGCACAUUGGGACUGCGAUACGGCCAAGAGUGCCACGGGAGGGAACAGUGGGGGAAAGUGCGAAAGGGGCGAAAGGCAGAUGCAGCGACGCCGCGUGGGGGAUGAAGGCGUUCGGGUUGUAAAACUGGUUCGCUAGCGAAUCGGUAGGUGGAGAAGAAGCGCCGGCUAACUUCGUGCCAGCAGCCGCGGUAAUAC